rnacentral:lncRNA from 1 species
GCCACCUCCAAUCACCACCAAAAUUUGACAGAAUCUUCCUCUCAACAUUUCGAACAACUUUCUAGAAGAAGUCAAAGCCCAAUUCUAAGCCUAAACAUGUCAAUUGAAUCAAAAUAUAAAAAUCCCCAAUUUUCAACCCUAAAAACUUCAAAUCUUUGAUUCUCCUCACACACACCGAAUCGAGUUACCAAAUUCUAGGGGAAUGUAGUACUAAUCAAACUCAACUUAUCCAUAUAUAGAACUCACCAAAUGGUGACAUGAGGAAGGAGAAAUUUGAUCGACACCGAAUCCGAACCGGUGGAGUUUUGGAGCUCGAUUUAUCCCUCACGGCGGCGCCACUCGAUGCACCACCUGUCCAGCAAUGAAGUAGAGACGACGGCGAAGCUUUUGGGACAAGUGUGGCGGUCUCCGGUUGCUUGACUGCGGAGCUAGGCCGAGAAGAAAAUCCGAAACUUUUUCUGAUUUUCUGACUUCAUACCAUCCACCUCCGGUAAAACUCCUAUAUAAAGAACUUUACUCGACGAAAUUCUUUAUUUUCGUCGGCUAAACUCUUUUGAAAAUUUUGGUUGACCGCCAAAAAAUUUUGGUUGAAAAUUUUGAAAUUUUGAAAAUUUUUCGACUUUAGCCGACGACUUUUCAUAUAUUUUCGUCGGCUAAAGUCCUUUGAAAAUUUUCCUCCAAAUUUGGUUCACCGCCAAAAAAAUUUUGACCUUAGCCGACGAUUUUUUUAAUAUCUCGUCGGCUAAAGUCUAUAAAUUCACGAAAACGCUCAUAUCUCCCUCUAUAUUACGUAGUUUGGUUAAACCUUCCACACGAAAAACUUUCACGUAGAUGAGACGCAACCGCCCAUAUAAAAAUUUUGAGACAUUUACCUUCCGACGAUAGGGCUCCCCAUAGGGAAUAAUAAUUGUAAAUAGGGUUGACCGCUACUAUCGGCACCGAGACGUUACCCGAUUUACAUGAUUUUUGAACCAUAGCCGUAUUUCACCAUUCUGAACACAUCUUAUUUCACGAGAUUUUUGAUAAUUUUGCUUCCUAUAUAGAGUUGGUUCACAAAGUUGUAUAACCUACUAAACAAGUUAUACAACAUUAGUAGACACGUUGUGAUUCCGAUGACUAAAAUUCACAAACCAAAAUUUGACCGCCAGAUAUUAUCAUUAUGACAAAAGAUGUCUAUGGUAAAAAAUUCAACUGGAUCCAACAACGUUAAGGGCUCGAUCGAACGGUCAACCCUAAUCCAUCGUCACUUAUCACACUAAACGCUCAUAUCUCCCUCUAUAUUACGUAGUUUGGUCAAACCUUCCACAUGAAAAACUCUCAUGUAGAUGAGACGCAACUGCCCAUAUAAAAAUUUUGAGACAUUUACCUUCCGACGAUAGGGCUCCCCAUAGGGAAUAAUAACGGUAAAUAGUAGACAAGUUGUGAUUCCGAUGACUAAAAUUUACAAACCAAAAUUCGACGUUUAGAUAUGAUCAUUAUGACGAAAGAUGUCUAUGGUAAAAAAUUCAACUAGAUUCGACAACGUUAAGGGCUCGAUCGAAACGGUCAACUCUAAUCGGAAAUAAGAAAACUGUAUUUUGAAGCCCUAAACGGACUCGGAUGGCCAAAAAGGCCCAUAUGUCAUGGCAUAACGAUGAGUUUGACUCGUAGGGCCGUUACGCUUCCAGAAAGGUAUCACAAUAGUCAAUCGGACACCAAACGCCAAAUCUGCAGCAUAGUGAAUAAUAAGGAUAAAUUGCAUUGACCGCAACUAUCGGCACCGAGACUUUACCGGAAUACCGUGAUUUUUCAACGGUAGAUGUAUUUCACCAUUCUGGUCAUAUCUUAUUUCAUGACUUUUUUGCGUUUGAAGGUUCUACAUAUAGUUUUUUUUUCCCAGAUGAGUUGUUGUCCAUAUGUGCAAAUAUAAGGCACUUUAGCCGACGAAAUUAUAUUUUUCGUCAGCUAAACUUUUAAAAAUUUCGUCGGCUAAAAUUCACAAACUAUAGCCGACGGAAAAAAUUAUUCAGACGACGAAAUUUUAAUUUCGUCGUCUAAAGUUGACCAAAGCCGAUGAAAAUUUAACUUAGUCGACGAAAAAAUAAUUCGUCGGCUAAAGCCUUUCUUCUGGUAGUGUAUGACUCAGGCAUUUUUCUCUGAGAUUUCUUUUUUAUAUAAAUUUUUUUGUUAUAAAUAUUAUAAUUUAUGUGGUUGUCCACGUAAUUACUCAUUAGUUAUGUACUCUGAUGUAAACCCUACCUCCUAUAUAAAAGCAUCUUCAACAGAUUCCCUAAAAUUUCUCUAUAAUAAGGAAACAAAUUAUAAGAGCAUCUCCAACAGCUUCCCUAAAAUUAUAAAUAUUAUAAUUUAUGUGGUUGUCUACGUAAUUACUCAUUAGUUAUGUAUUUUGAUGUAAACCUUACCUCCUAUAUAAGAGCAUCUCCAACAGUUUCCCUAAAAUUUCUCCAUAAUAGGGAAGCAAAAGUCAAAAUCUCCAAAAAAAAAUUGCUCUAACUCCAACAGAUUCCCCAUUUUGGAGAUGAGUGCGACUAUUGAGAUCUCUAAAUUUGCUCAAUAUACCUCUCAUUCUCUCUACACCUCCAUUUUACUUUUAAAUACAAACAUUUGCUCACUAGACCUCCAUUCAAAUUCCUAAAAUAACCUUAUUUAUGUAAUUCACAUAUAUUUCAAUAUAUUACUCAUUGCACCACUUCUUCACUCACUAGAUCUGCCAUUUAUUUUUAUUUUUUUCGCAUGCGAACAUCCAUUCCUGACAUCCAUUCUUUAAUUUUUUUUUCUUUUUCACACAAACAUCCAUUCCCGACC